UACGUAGGGUGCAAGCGUUGUCCGGAAUUAUUGGGCGUAAAGAGCUCGUAGGCGGUCUGUCGCGUCGGCUGUGAAAACCCGAGGCUCAACCUCGGGCCUGCAGUCGAUACGGGCAAACUAGAGUACUGCAGGGGGAGACUGGAAUUCCUGGUGUAGCGGUGAAAUGCGCAGAUAUCAGGAGGAACACCGGUGGCGAAGGCGGGGUCUCUGGGCAGUAACUGACGCUGAGGAGCGAAAGCGUGGGGGAGCGAACAGG
rnacentral:rRNA from 1 species